rnacentral:rRNA from 1 species
GUGCCAGCAGCCGCGGUAAGACGAACCGUGCAAACGUUGUUCGGAAUCACUGGGCUUAAAGGGCGCGUAGGCGGCUUGCCAAGUCGGGGGUGAAAUACUUCAGCUUAACUGGAGAAGUGCCUUCGAUACUGGCGAGCUCGAGGGAGGUAGGGGUAUGUGGAACUUCUGGUGGAGCGGUGAAAUGCGUUGAUAUCAGAAGGAACGCCGGUGGCGAAAGCGACGUACUGGACCUCUUCUGACGCUGAGGCGCGAAAGCUAGGGGAGCAAACGGGAUUAGAAACCCGCGUAGUCC